rnacentral:lncRNA from 1 species
UUACGUGCUUAUAGAAAAUAACUUCUACACACGAGAAUCUACACAGGAAAACAUUUAAAAGACAUUCGGCUGGAAACGUUUGGAGCUCAGGCUGGACGCUCCAAUGCCACCAAGUCGAGGACAAACAUAAUUCCACACGCCGAUGCUUCCUCGACGGAUCCUCUGGCCGACCGCCAGCUCCAGGAAGAAGAGUGGGAUGCCAAUAAGGAUAAGAAGAAUGAAGUAUGGGACAAGCAGAUGGUUUCUGCUAUAGGCUAAUGAAAGCCUGAGCCUCGGCAGACAUGAAUGAAUGAACGGACAGACAACAGAAUAAAACAGCAAGUCACGCCGUUGACGUCAAAGCAGCUCCAUGGUGACGAAGAGUUUGGUCUGAGCAAAAGCAGCGUCUGUUUGAAGUCAAAGAACAAUCCUGAAAUAACCUCUUUUGUAGACUCCGAGUGCACAUUGCUGGCAGAUGACCAUAAAUUCAUCCUCUCGGGAGCAUACAAGUGUAAUUAGAGCCAGGGAUGAUCACAGAACAGCCUUUCCUUGGCCUCUGUUUAUGAAGAAUGACUGCUUGUUAUCAGUUUGAUUAUAGCUUUUCUUUUGUGUUCUGUGGUGCUUUUUGUCUGCGCUUUAUUUAUGCAUACGACUAAUGAAAAGGAACAGCGGGUCUUGCUUGGAAAAGAG